GGUGAAGAACCCUAGGUCAGUGGUAGAACAUCUGCUUUGUAUGCAUAAUGCCUCAGGUUCAAUCCCUAACAUUUCCA